AAAAACGUUUAUGUAACUACCAAUAAAAGUCGUCACUAGCUUGUCCUAAAAACGGAAAUUGCACGAAGAAAAGGUUUUAGUUACGGUUUUUUUUGGUAGUAACAGUAAGCAGAUUUUUUGGUAGUGGUAAAAGCAUGUGUUAGUUUUUUUUUUUUUUUUUUAUGAAGUAGGAACCCGCAUCCGCUACCCGAAAGUGCGCACUGGAUAAACCUCCGGCCGAACCUAAUACCCUGCAGACCAGCAUGUGUUAAUUGUUUUGCAAUGAUGAUUCAGUCGACGCUGCAAAUGAUCGAUAUAAAUUGGAGGCUUUUGAAAGCUGAAAAUAGUGUUGGAUUUGGGUUCCUUCAAUGUGUGAAGCCCAAGAAUUCAAGUUAACUAAAAAGAGUUAAGCCCAUUUUUGUCAAUGGCUGCCCUAGCCUCAUAGUUGGGAGAUGGGUCAUUUUUUGGUGCUUGGUGCAGAGAUUUUGAGAGAGGAACAAUUGGUAUCUACGACACCUGAAAGAAUCGACAAGCAAAAGAGAAUUUCUUCAACUCGAUUCCGAUCAACGGUCUCAUAUCCUUGGAUGUUUUUUCUUAUAUCGUUUUACUGUUUACUUGUUUGGAUUCGAUUUUGAAUCUUAUUGGUCGGGGAUUGGAAUGAGUUGCUAGUAGUUGGGAGAUCUCUUGUGAUUGGGGUUCGAUUCUUGUAAUUAGGUGUGGAGUUUGAUAGCCCUUUUGGUUGUGGUUAUCUUUGAUUGUAUGAACUUUUUGAUAUAGUAGAUUUUUAUCCUUCAUUUGAAGAGUUUUUUUUCGCUGUUAAAAGUUUUGGUGUCUCAUAUUGUUAUUUCUAUUGUUUAUUAGUGAUUAACAUUCAUCGUAUUUUGGUAGAAAGAAUAAUUGAUUGAAGAGAAAAUGUUUGAUGGAACAGUUUGAACACCCUACUUAGGCGUGACUUAAGGAGUACAUCGCAUCUGAUUUUUGUUUGCAUUUUGGAUUUUCUCCCAGCAAAUAGUUCUAAUGUUUCGAGGACAUGGCUUUCUAGGGUUGUCAAGUUUUUUCAUGCCCAAGUAGCUUCUAUAACUAUUGUAGGAUACACAAAUAACAAGGGAAGAUGUUUCAGCUUGGAUACACAAGUAACAGAGAAUAAAUUCCAUGGCUUCAUCUUCUUGAAAUUAACCUACACUGCUAAUAAGGGAAAGGGAUGAUAUCAUGUCUGUUCUUCUAAAUUUGGCAUUUCGAAUGCUUAGAUGUGAAAGCUUUACCUCUAUCAAGAUCAAGUUGGAUUAAUAUAUGAUUAUGAAAAGAUGCCCUCUUGAAGAUAUUAUUAUGGUCCUCUGCAUAGAGAUCCCGACUUCUGAAGGAGCAGCACAAAAAAGAACUUUGAUUGUGAGGGUAGAUUUUAGGUUAAUAUUUACAUUAUAGCAACUACCUUGUAAUUGUUGAUAUUUUAGCCACAAAAUUGUACUUUAGGAGGU